GGCACGGUGGUGCAGUGGGUAGCACUAUGGCCUUCCAGUUAGAAGGUUGUCAGUUCGAGGCUCACCUGUGACC